rnacentral:lncRNA from 1 species
CAGAACAUGGUGAACACCACCAGGGGAGAGUGAGUUUGAAUACCACAUUUUGAAAAUCCCUGAAUGCUUAUAAAAAGCCUUUGACUUCAUUUUGUAGGAAAUUUGGAAGCAUGGAUUGUUGCUAGGCAGGGGAAUGACUUGAACAGAUCUUUAAUUUAGCUGGCUAAUUUUGAUGGAUCUGGGGAACAAAUUAAUGGUCUAGAAGAGCAGAAGCUAUAAAAUAUGAGAAAGAGAAUCUAAUUAAGAAGUGAUUUUUUCAAAAAGAAGUAAUUAUAAGCACUGAACACAUGAGGGUCUUAUUUAGACCUGGACUAAUACGGAAUGGUGAAAGCCAAAUGAGUAAGAUACAUUAAUGUCAUUAAAGACACACUUCAACAAGCUUCAACCCAAGCAUAGAACUUCAUCUCUCUGUGAUCUUGAGCUUAGCUAGAGCUUUAUACAACUCAUCCCAGAAUCACUGAGAACCAUGCCAUGAUUUUGUAAGGUAAACAGAGAAAUGACCAAUCCCUACUGAUAUUACCCUUUCCUCAGCCAAUCAAGUGAUACCUUGUUUUAUUUGAAGCACACUUCCUCUCCUUGUUAAGAAAAAUUAUGACAAGUUGGGACUUAUAAAAGGGCAGGAAGAUAUCCCUUUAGAAUGGAGAGCUAAUGGCAUAUUUAUGAGCAGAGGAGAGGCGCUGGUACAACAAAAAGCAGAUCCAACAAAAAGCAGAUCUCAUUCAAAGAGUCUCUUCCUAGAAUCACAGUAACAUUUAAAUUUGUUGGUUAAUAGUAUUAAGAACUCACCACAUGCUGCCCACUAUUCUAAGUACUUUAUUAACUUAUUAAGUCUCCACAGUAACUUAAAUGGGAGAAAUUACAUUAAUAUUAUGCCCAUUGUGAAGAUCAGAAGAUGAGGCAAUGAUUGACGUAUGUCUUACCAAGUAUAUAUAGCCAAUGACAGCAAAGCCAGGAUUUUAAUCCAGGUGAGAUGGAUGUGAAGGCCAUGAUCUAAAGUAUGACUCUAUCCUAUCUUACCUUCCAGCAGGAAGCCACAAAGGACAGAAAAGAAUUAACAGCAGCUAGAGGAAAUCUUGAUCUCUGAAUUUUGUGUUUUUUUUUUUUUAAAAAAGGUAAAUUCUGUAGAGUUUUUAUCUAAAAGAUGAUUUGAGCAAGAUGUACCUAUAAAUAAAUAAUAAAUAAACAUGGAAGUUAUGCAAUUAUGGGAUAUAUCUGGCCAGAGAAUGGAAAUUAGACCUGUAACAUCUUUGCCCUGAAUGACUAACCACAUAUAAAAGCUAAGAAGCUCUAAACCUAAAUGGCUGAGCUGACACGCACACACACACUGUCAGUGCUUGUUUGCUACUCUUAGUGUGGGAAAAGAAUAAUUAAGAAGCUGAUUUGAAGGCUCAAGCCCCUCAGGAAAGGAAUACUACUUGUGUGCCUGAUUCUUGCUUAUAUUUUUUGAGCCAUUAGUAGUUUGGUGUUGGGCAAGACCUAUGAUUCAUGUGAGUCUCUUUUGAUGAGUCUACCUUUUGUGGCAACUCACUAUGGAAAGAAAAGAGCACAGCAGUGGGUGUUUUGGCUUUGAACAGCUUGAGUUCUGCCAUUAUUUAAUCUAUUAUGAUACAGGAUUUAGUGUAAUACCAAUUUAUGCCUAUACACAUAACUACCAUGUCAGAAAUUCCCCAAUUUCUACUUAGGGGUCACAGAUUCAAAUUUUUAGUUUGGUAGAAGGCAGAAUACAAACAGGGGGCCAGUGAAAACGGCUUGUAAAAAUAAAAAUAGCUAAUAUAGUUGGGCAAUUGCUUUUUGCUUAUUAUCUUAACUGGUAACUUGUUUACUUCUCAUAACAAAAUUAUGAGGUCAGUACCAUUAUUAUUGCUGUGUUAUAGAUGUAGAAACUUAGUAAAUGUGGUGCAAUUACUGUGCCAGUCUGACCGCUGUCUCCUUCCCACAGAGGAGUGAGGAGGCCGGCACAAUGCAUGAAGAGAAGCACUCACCCCUUCCACAGAAGCAAUGCAGAUAUCUCCCUCAGGUUCUAUUCUGUUAGUUGACCUACGUAUGGUUUGAUACCAUAUAACUGUAUUUGUCUGCUGAGACUGCCAUCACAACCUACCACAGACUUAAACAACAGAAAUUUAUUAAUCACAAAUUAUAGAAGCUAGAAGUCCACAAUCAAGAUGCUUUCAGGGUUGAUUUCGGGUGACGUUCUCUUUCUUCCUUAUAGAUUUCUUGCUCUAUCAUCACAUGGCCUCUUCUCUGUUUGCUUGGAGAGAGAAAGAAGGUUCUCUGGUGUCUCUUCCACUUCUUAUAAAGCCACCGGCCUUAUCACAUUAGGAUCCACUCUUAUGACCUCAUUUAACCUUAAUUAUUUCCUUAAAGGCCCCAUCUCCAAAAACACUCUCAUUUGGGCUGAGGACUUCAAUAUUUGAAUUUAGGAGAACACAAUUCAGUCCAUGACAAUGGUUCCUGUACCUUUCUGUCCAUCCGUGGUUCUUUUUCUAAUACUCUCUGCCCACUGUACUCUCAUGAUCUAAUCCUUUAGAAAACCUUUGUCCUUGCCUUGACUUAGGCUUACAGGACCCAUAGAGGUUAAGACUAGUUUUCUCCUCUCCCUGCUGAGAGUAAAGUAUUCAGAGACGCUUCUAACUGUACUCCCUUCUGGCCUUCAGUAAGUUUUUCACAUGGCCAUCAGAAUUAUCAUCCUAAAAAUUAAUUGAAGUUUUCUCAAUUAGAUAGACAACAAAAUUAAAAUCCUUCAGCAUGGUUUUACACACAUGCCCAAUCCACUUUCCUUGCUUUAUCAUGCUGUGUUUCAGUCAGGAUAUAAACCCCAUUCUUAUGAAUCUAUCACUUUAAUUCCUAUCAUUUAAUGCUCUGCAUGUGCUUCUGCUAUGAGACUUAAUUCCUCACAUCUUGUAUAAGAGCUGGUUGUUUACAUCAUUCUUAGAAAAGCUGAAACCUCAUUAAGUUAGAGAUGGGCAGAAAUAGUAUUUAUCCUUGCAUACUUAUACUGACAGGUAUAGUAAGCUCUCAUUAAUUAAUUUUUAAGUUAUAUGAUGAAUCACAUAAAUAUUUAUUCAAUGACUACUCUAUGCUAGGCCCUAUGCUUCAAGAAAAAAGCUAAAGAUGUUCUUGUUAUAUUUUUAAAUGUUUAUUUAUUAUCAUUAAAGUAUAGUUGAUUUACAAUGUUUCAUUAAGUUCUAUUGUACAACAAAGUAACCUAAUCACACACAUUUUCCUGUGCUUUAUAGUGAGAUCCCAUUGCCCAUCCAUUCCAAAUAUAACUAUUUGCAUCCAAAAAACCCCCCAAAUGCCCAUCCAUCCCACUCCCCCCGCCACCUUUGUCCCUUGGGAAUCCCAAGUCUGCUCUUCUUGGCCAUGAUAUGUUUCUGCUUUUUGUUGGUUUAUUUUAGAUGGGAUGAUCUGUUCCCUAUUUUAGAUUCCACAAAUAAGUGAUAUCAUAUAGUAUUUGUCUUUUUCUUUCUGGCCUACUUCUGUAUUACAUUUUUUUUUUCAACAGAAAAUGAUUUUCUGGUUUAGGUAACAGAUCAUAUGGAAUAAACAAAUAAUUUAAAAUUCUGCAAUCCUUAGCUACAGUUUCAAAGCAUGCUAUGGGUUCUCUUUUGCUUUCGUUAGAAUUAGGUUUACCUGACUGUAACUAUAUCAAAAUACAAUGGUUUAGAUGAAGUACCUUCCUCACACAAAGUAAGCCCAGAGGUAGGCAUGUCAAGAGCUGAGAUGUGACUCUGAGGUUGUCAAGGACCCCUGUGCCUCCAUUUUUCACUCCAUAUCCCUUGGAUAUUGCCCUGCCACUUGAUACUCUGGCCACCACAUAGGCUUUCCUGGCUGGUAAGUGGAAUAUGAAACUUCAAUAUAUCCCAUAAAAGAAACCUCCAUUUAUAUCUAACUGGCCAGCACAUAAUCAUAUGACCUGACCCAUAUGUAGAGGGAGGAUGAGAAAUACAAUAUUUUAGCUAGGCACACAGCCACCUUGAAUAAAAUCAGAAAUUCCUAUUAAAGGAGAGAGAGUGAAUGAAUAUUUGUGUCUUGUUAGAAGUACAUAUAAACUUCAACCAAGAUAAACACACCUGUUAAGUCUUAAUUGAAAUGAAAUUGCAAAAUUAACUUUUAGGUAUGAGUGAACUGAACCUGAACUGUUCACAUUCAAUUAAAUUAUGGCUCAAAUAACUACCUUAAUCAAAUGGAAAAAAACCCACUGUUGAGUAAAAUUCAAAGUUUAUGUGGUCAAUGGCUCAAAUACCUAUCUCUCUCCCCUCCACCUAUCUACCCCAUCACCUCCAGGCAACUUACCCAACCACAUUUCCAUCCAUUUACAUUAUAUCUUAAGGACUAUGUUCCUGAGAACUCUCCUCCACAACCUCUUUCCUUGGCAUAUAUUGCCUCUCGCCCUUCUUAAAGUGCUCAUUUGUAUAUUUAAAGAUGCUUAACCAGACAGAAUUGGGGUAAUUAAGCUUCAUUUGCUGAACAGCAACAGAACUAAUUACUCAUGUAUUUGGGCAAGAGUCUGAAAUAAACCUCUAGGAAUACAGUAAAGUAUGGGUUGUAAGGAUGAUGAAAAGGAAUAAAAUAAUAGAAGCAGAGCUUUAGCAAACGACCUCAAAUUCUUGUCCUGGCAAGAGUGCAAUAUUAAGAGGGAAGGACAAGAGAAAAGUUCAACGUGGGAAAAAUUUAACUAACUAUAGUAAGUUUUAUUUUCCUUCUGUGUUCUGUCAGAAACACCAGUGUUAUUCUUCCUACAAAUGAGGCUGGGAAAAUAUGAAAUACACAUGUUUAGUUUUGUAAUAUAAAUCAAUUUAAAUGUUUUCCAAGAAAAAUUAGGUAACAAAUUUUAAAUUCUCUAUAAUUAUUCCAGGGAUAUUUGGGUGAUGACUAUCUAAAAUCCUCUGUCUGCCCUUUUUACUUUUGAAUAUUAACAUCUCUACUAAACUUGUUCAAAUGGAAAAAUCAACAUAUCUUCUCCCUCUUACUGAUCAUUCUGAACUAUAAGGAAUGAGUUAAAUUUUCUUAAUAGCAACUUUAGUACAAAGAAAUAAAGAAAAAAAAUUAAAAUAAUAUUUGAAACCCUUUACUGAGCAUGGCAGAUUAAACUUACGUUUAUGUCUCCAGUACCUUCCAAAACUGCAUUACAAUUAGGGCAAAUAAAUUUUUUAAAGUAUAAGCCCACAAGAGAAUGGAGGGUAAGAGAAGAAAUGCUAGAGAAAUAGCACCAAAUUUUCAGAGCCACAAAAUUGAUGAAUCAUAACUGAUCUGGCAGAGUGUGGAAAGGUGAAAUCUAAAUAUCAACAGAACAAAAAUUAAGAGGCAAAUUUCAAAACUGGAGGGAUCUAGUGUCACAGGGGCUAACGAUAAAGACACACAGUAACAAAAGAAUGGGUUAAAAGCCUAUGGGAGACAUUCGAUCCCAGAUACUUUUUCACAACCUGUACUCCUUUAACCAUACCUGAUUGCAACACAAAACGGAGAUUUGUUCUUUGGACAAAGUCCCUCAAAAGACUCUCCAUGUAUAGUGAGGUGAAUGACUAUACUUAUAUUCACCUACUGGACCCAGAACAGGGAGAGCACCUGGGUAAAUCAUAUAGACCCGUAUGGGAAAGUCAACACACAAGUCCUUUCUGCUCCCAAAUUCAGGCAGCAGGCUGCACAGGAGAAAUUAAUCAUAGGAGAAACUGGCUAAUAAGAGAGACCUGACAUUUGUGGAACUACUCACAAAAAACAGAUAGGUUUAGCUCUAGAGCCCUAAGUUAGGCCAACCAGUUGACACAAAGUCUUUCCACAGUUUUAAAUGAACGUUUUAAGUCCACCUUCGUAAACAUCAAAUGGCAGGCAAGAUCACUAUUCCUACUAGGAAAUUCUUCACACGAAAAUGAAAGAGUGGAGCAAUCUAACAAAAGAAAAUGUAAAAAGAAUAUAAAGAGAAUAGUGAAAAGGGGAAACAAAAAUGUAAAAAAAAAAAAAAAAAAAGUAAUAUACUCAAAGAAAGGAGAAAAAAGAUAUGGCUUCCCUAAAGAGAGAGAGAGAUCAGAUCAGAGAACAAGAAAGAAUUCUUGGUAGUUAAAUAUGUAUGUAUGAGGGAAGUAAUCAUCCCCAAGAGCUCCCCUAAAGGCUGCCAUUUUGGAAAUGAGAUAUAACUUCACCCAACAGCCUGCAGGCUCUACUUCUGGAAGCCUCAAGCCAUUCAAUAAACAGGGCA